CAAUCCGGUAGCAACAUUCCCUAAACCAAUCACAAAGUCUGAUUGCACAGUACUCUUGUCUAGUUAUCUCAUCGAUUUUUUUUUUCCUUCUGUAUUUAACACUCAUUGAUACUACUACCAGUACGAGCUUCAUUUAUUAAAAAUGGCAAGUGAUGGUGAUGAUGAGCAAGUGAGCAACAAACAAGUGAUCUUAAAGAACUAUGUCACUGGUUCUCCUAAAGAAUCAGACAUGUACGCGAGUAGCAAUGGUACCAUAAAGUUGAAUGUCCCAGAAGGUACUAAUGGGGUUGUGGUGAAGAAUCUCUACAUGUCUUGCGAUCCCUACAUUCUUAUCCAAAUGAAGAAGCCCGACACAAACUCCUUGAAGUCCCCCGAUUCAGCACUUACUGGAUUUGGCGUGGCUAAAGUUUUGGAUUCUAGGAAUCCAAAUUUCAAGAAAGGUGACUUAGUUUGGGGAAUAACAGGAUGGGAAGAAUAUAGUUUAAUUACGGAUUUUCAGAAAAUGUUUAAAAUCCAACACACUAAUGUGCCACUGUCCUACUAUACCGGCAUUCUUGGUAUGCCUGGUUUAACAGCUUAUUGUGGUUUUCAUGAGGUUUUCUAUCCAAAGAAAGGAGGGCAUGUCUUCAUUUCAGCAGCUUCUGGAGCAGCUGGUCAGCUUGUUAGGCAGUUUGCAAAGUUGUUUGGUUGCUAUGUUGUUGGAAGUGCUGGAAGCAAAGAAAAGGUUGAUUUGCUGAAGAACAAAUUAACGUUUGACGAGGCUUUCAACUAUAAAGAAGAGCCUGACUUGGAUGCAGCUUUGAAAAGAUACUUUCCAGAAGGUAUUGAUAUUUAUUUUGAGAAUGUUGGGGGAAAGAUGCUUGAUGCCGUGCUACACAACAUGAGGGUCCAUGGCCGCGUUGCUGUAUGUGGAAUGAUCUUACAGUACAACCUUGAGCAGCCUGAAGUUUGCACCAUAUAAUGAGUGUGGCUUGGAAACAGAUCCGGAUAGAAGGAUUCCUUGUUUUUGAUUACUACCACCUCUAUCCAAAGUUUCUGGAGUUUGUUCUGCCUUACAUCAAAGAGGGAAAGAUUACUUAUUUGGAAGAUAUAGCUGAAGGCCUCGAGAGUGCCUCAGAAGCAAUGGUAGGGCUCUUCUCUGGCCGUAAUGUUGGAAAACAGGUCGUGGUAGUUGCUCAUGAAUGAAUGACUUUGUAUACAACCUCAUGGUCCAAAAACUCUAGGUCCAGGUGGAUUAUUUACUGCAAAUGUAUCUUCUAUUGGAUUUUGUUGGUAACAAUAUAGUUUUAUAUCCUUAAUAAAGCGUCAUG